rnacentral:rRNA from 1 species
GUACACGCUGUGACUAGCAUAUCAAUAAGCGGAGGAAAAGAAACUAACAAGGAUUCCCCUAGUAACGGCGAGUGAAGCGGGAAGAGCUCAAAUGUGAAAUCUUAAAGGGUUUCCCUUUACGAAUUGUAGUUUAAAGAAGUGUUUUCUGUUGAGGUUUUGGUAAAAGUUCUUUGGAAUAGGACAUCAUAGAGGGUGAGAAUCCCGUAUUUGACCUUUACUUUCAACUUUGUGAUACACUUUCAAAGAGUCGGAUUGUUUGGGAAUGCAGUCCAAAAUGGGUGGUAAAUUUCAUCUAAAGCUAAAUAUUGGCGGAGAGACCGAUAGCGAACAAGUACCGUGAGGGAAAGAUGAAAAGAACUUUGAAAAGAGAGUUAAACAGUACGUGAAAUUGUCAAAAGGGAAGCGUUUGACACCAGUGUUGUUUUUCUGAAAAUCAAUUAAAGAACUGUUUAUGCUAAGCUGUUUAGACUUUAUCAGCUAAUCUGUUUAGUUUUGAGCUUUUCUUUAAUGCACUUUUCAGUUAACAAGUCAACAUCAAUUUCUUUUGCUGUAAAAAAGCUUGAGGAAGGUGGCUUGAGAUUCGUCUUAAGUGUUUAUAGCCUCUUGCCUAUGCAGUCGGAGAGAUUGAGGUCUGCAGCGUAGAUCCUUCGGGGCUAAAUGCAUUUGUGCUAAGUUAUAGCAUUUUAUAGACAACUUUGUUGACUAUGAUUUGUCUUGUAGCUUACUCGCUUAUGUUAUUUUACCUACGCUUAGGAUGUUGAUAUGCAUGACUGAUAU